rnacentral:rRNA from 1 species
AUAAACGCUGGCGGCGCACAUAAGACGUGCAAGUUGAACGGACUUAAUCGAAAUAUUUAUAUUUUGAAGCGGUUAGUGGCGGACUGGUGAGUAACGCGUAAGGAACCUGCCUAUUAGAGGGGAAUAACAGUGAGAAAUCAUUGCUAAUACCGCAUAUGCCAUAGAUAUCACAUGAUAACAGUGGGAAAGGAGCAAUCCGCUAAUAGAUGGCCUUGCGUCUGAUUAGAUAGUUGGUGGGGUAACGGCCUACCAAGUCGACGAUCAGUAGCCGGACUGAGAGGUUGAACGGCCACAUUGGGACUGAGAUACGGCCCAGACUCCUACGGGAGGCAGCAGUCGGGAAUAUUGCGCAAUGGAGGAAACUCUGACGCAGUGACGCCGCGUAUAGGAAGAAGGUUUUCGGAUUGUAAACUAUUGUCGUUAGGGAAGAGAAAGGACAGUACCUAAGGAGGAAGCUCCGGCUAACUACGUG